UGGCUCAAUAGCUCAGUUGGUUAGAGCAGGGGAUUCAUAAGCCCAAGGUCGCAGGUUCAAAUCUUGCUUGAGCCAG
rnacentral:tRNA from 1 species